GCAGCCCCCAGCAGUUCCAGCUCUGCAUCUGGUUGGGAAGGAAUUCCAGAUGCUGCAUCUUGCUGUGAGACCAGCACUGCUGAGGAAGCUGCAGGUGGAGCAGGCACAAGUUCUACAGUGGGUGAAAAACAUUUUUCUUCUCAGACUCAGAAGUGGAACCACCUGGGGAGAGAACCAAGCCACACAAGGAGGUGAUCCCUGCCUGGAAACCAGUGCCAUGUGGGGGCCGCUGCCAGGAUGGGGACAGCCACACCCCAGCCACUCUCCAUAAGUCAGUGACAUUCACGGACUGGGAUGGAGGGAACCAAGCCUCACAAAGAAGUGAUCCCAGCCUGUAAGCUACAUCACUUUCAUUGUUUUGUUGUGUUGUUUUUUAAUCUCUUUUGUUUUGUUUGAUUAUGUUAAAUCUGAUGGCAUGAACAACUAUUUCAAAAAUAGCAAGACAUUUUGGUAGACAGUUUGGAUUUACUAUUAGCAUAUAUUGAAGCCCUUUAUUGCAUUUAUUGUUUGUUUUUAUUUUGUCCAUUCUAUUCUGUUCUGUUUGAUUUUUACUAUGUCCGAAAG
rnacentral:lncRNA from 1 species